rnacentral:rRNA from 1 species
AAUCAACGCUGGCGGCGUGCCUCAGACAUGCAAGUCGAACGAUUAAGACUCUCUUCGGAGAGUGUAUAAAGUGGCGCACGGGUGAGUAACACGUAGGUAAUGUACCGAAGGGUGGGGAAUAACUUAGGGAAACUUAAGCUAAUACCGCAUAAUGCAGCGGCUCGACAUCGAGACAGUUGUUAAAGGAGCAAUCCGCCUUUUGACGCAGCCUGCGGCAGAUUAGCUAGUUGGUAAGGUAAUGGCUUACCAAGGCUACGAUCUGUAACCGACCUGAGAGGGUGGUCGGUCACACUGACACUGAAUAACGGGUCAGACUCCUACGGGAGGCAGCAGUCGGGAAUUUUGGGCAAUGGGCGAAAGCCUGACCCAGCAACGCCGCGUGAAGGAUGAAGUAUUUCGGUAUGUAAACUUCGUAAGAAUAGGAAGAAUAAAUGACGGUACUAUUUGUAAGGUCCGGCUAACUACGUGCCAGCAGCCGCGGUAAU